GGCACGUGGGCUCUAGAGCACAGGCUCAAUAGUUGUGGCGCACGGGCUUAGCUGCUCUGAGGCCUGUGGGAUCUUCCCGGACCAGAACUCGAACCCGUGUCCCCUACAUUGGCAGGUGGACUCCCAACUACUGCGCCACCAGGGAAGCCCUUCUUCUUUUAAAACGUAACCUUCAUGAGAAAUGGGGGCUUGUCUGCCACAUAGUGGGCACUCAGUAAUAAUUAAUGGAUGGAUUAAUAUCCUCAAAAUGCCGUGUGCAGCAUAGAUGUAGGCUGGGGCUUCAACAUUGCCUAUUGCUGCAAAGUGCUCUGGAAGUCUUAAUUUUUUGUAACGUAAAAAUGUUUUGUCAGAUCUAUGCCCUGAUGAUGUUAUGUAACGGUUGAUUUACAGUGAUUCUUGUUGCCUUUUAAACAUGUGGAAAUGGAUGACAAUGAAAACUGCUUGGAGUCUGAUCAUUGUGACUGUGGUGGUAAUGCCCAGCACAAAUAAGAGCCUAAAUGGGUAAAAAAGCAGAGAGUAUUUUAAAGGAGUCAGCGUUCCUUUACCUUUGUGAAACGGAGCUGAAGUUACACACAGUCCUCGUCGACUUUGCAACCUGCCCCUGACGGCGAGUUUCUCAAGAGAAGUACUGCGCUACAUGAUAUUGUACCAGUGUGGUGUACAUGGUGGCAGAAAUUCUUC